UGAGUAACACGUAUGCAACCUGCCUGCCACAGCCGGAUGAUCGGGAGAAAUUCCGUCUAAUACGGCAUAAUGCAUCGACGGGACAUCCUGUUGGUGCCAAAGGUUAAUUCCGGUGGCGGAUGGGCAUGCGUCGCAUUAGUUAGUUGGCGGUGUAACGGACCACCAAGACGACGAUGCGUAGGGGUUCUGAGAGGAAGGUCCCCCACACUGGUACUGAGACACGGACCAGACUCCUACGGGAGGCAGCAG
rnacentral:rRNA from 1 species